rnacentral:rRNA from 1 species
UGGGGAAUUUUGGACAAUGGGCGCAAGCCUGAUCCAGCCAUGCCGCGUGCGGGAAGAAGGCCUUCGGGUUGUAAACCGCUUUUGUCAGGGAAGAAAUCCUUUGAGCUAAUACCUCGGGGGGAUGACGGUACCUGAAGAAUAAGCACCGGCUAACUACGUGCCAGCAGCCGCGGUAAUACGGAGGGGGCUAGCGUUGUUCGGAAUUACUGGGCGUAAAGCGCACGUAGGCGGACCAGAAAGUAGGGGGUGAAAUCCCGGGGCUCAACCUGGGAACUGCGUUUGUGACUGCAUAACUAGAGUACGGCAGAGGGAGGUGGAAUUCCGCGUGUAGCAGUGAAAUGCGUAGAUAUGCGGAGGAACACCGAUGGCGAAGGCAGCCUCCUGGGCCAGUACUGACGCUCAUGCACGAAAGCGUGGGGAGCAAACA